rnacentral:rRNA from 1 species
UACGGAGGGUGCGAGCGUUGUCCGGAAUCACUGGGCGUAAAGGGCGCGUAGGCGGGAUGGCAAGUCGGUCGUGAAAUCCCUCGGCUCAACUGAGGAGAGUCGGCCGAAACUGCUGUUCUUGAGGGAUGCAGAGGAGACUGGAAUUCCCGGUGUAGCGGUGAAAUGUGUAGAGAUCGGGAGGAACACCGGUGGCGAAGGCGGGUCUCUGGGCAUCUCCUGACGCUGAGGCGCGAAAGCGUGGGGAGCAAACGGG